AACGAACGUUAGCGGCGCGCUUAACACAUGCAAGUCGAACGAGAAAGGGCUUCGGCCCCGGUACAGUGGCGCACGGGUGAGUAACACGUGGGUAAUCUACCCUUGAGCGGGGGAUAACGUUCCGAAAGGAGCGCUAAUACCGCAUAAGACCACGCUCUCGAAAGGGAGCGAGGUAAAAGUAGGCCUCUGAAUUCACGCUUACACUCGAGGAUGAGCCCGCGGCCCAUCAUGGUAGUUGGUAGGGUAAUGGCCUACCAAGCCGAAGACGGGUAGGCUGGUCUUAGAGGAUGAUCAGCCACACUGGAACUGAGACACGGUCCAGACUCCUACGGGAGGCAGCAGUGGGGAAUCUUGCGCAAUGGGCGAAAGCCUGACGCAGCGACGCCGCGUGGGUGAUGAAGGCCUCGGUCGUAAAGCUACUGUGGGAGAGGACGAAGUAAGAACGUGGCUAAUAUCCACGGCGAUGACGGUAUCUCCUUAGCAAGCACCGGCUAACU
rnacentral:rRNA from 1 species